rnacentral:rRNA from 1 species
GACGAACGCUGGCGGCGUGCCUAAUACAUGCAAGUAGAACGCUGAAGCGAGGAGCUUACUCUUCUUGGAUGAGUUGCGAACGGGUGAGUAACGCGUAGGUAACCUGCCUUGUAGCGGGGGAUAACUAUUGGAAACGAUAGCUAAUACCGCAUAACAAUGGAUGACACAUGUCAUUUAUUUGAAAGGGGCAAUUGCUCCACUACAAGAUGGACCUGCGUUGUAUUAGCUAGUAGGUGAGGUAAUGGCUCACCUAGGCGACGAUACAUAGCCGACCUGAGAGGGUGAUCGGCCACACUGGGACUGAGACACGGCCCAGACUCCUACGGGAGGCAGCAGUAGGGAAGCUUCGGCAAUGGGGGCAACCCUGACCGAGCAACGCCGCGUGAGUGAAGAAGGGUUUCGGAUCGUAAAGCUCUGUUGUAAGUCAAGAACGGGUGUGAGAGUGGAAAGUUCACACUGUGACGGUAGCUUACCAGAAAGGGACGGCUAACUACGUG